UCCGGUUUGUCACCGGCAGUCUCAUUAGAGUGCCCAACUUAAUGUGGCAACUAAUGGCAAGGGUUGCGCUCGUUGCGGGACUUAACCCAACAUCUCACGACACGAGCUGACGACAGCCAUGCAGCACCUGAACCGGUGGUCCCCGAAGGGAAGAUCCUAUUUCUAGGACUGUCCGCCGUUGUCUAGCCCAGGUAAGGUUCUUCGCGUUGCGUCGAAUUAAACCACAUGCUCCGCUGCUUGUGCGGGUCCCCGUCAAUUCCUUUGAGUUUUAGCCUUGCGGCCGUACUCCCCAGGCGGGGCACUUAAUGCGUUAGCUCCGGCACGGGAGGAGUCGACACCUCCCACACCUAGUGCCCAUCGUUUACGGCGUGGACUAC
rnacentral:misc_RNA from 1 species